AGCCUCUCAUCCUCCCAGACCCACGCGACCAGGAUCCCCUCCCCCCAGCGUGCCGUCGGCCGGUCCUCGGCCCCUCCCCUUGCGCGCCGUCGGGCGUCCCCUCCUCUUGUGCGCCGCCGGCCGGCCCCUCCUCUUGCGCGCCGCCGACCGCCCCACCUCUCCCAGCGCGCCGCCGCGGAUCCCCUCUCCCUCACUCCCGGCGGCGCCCCGCCUCCACCUUCUCCCUCACUCUCGGCGCCACCCGACCCCCAACCUCCAUGGAUUCCGGCGGCGCCCCGCCCUCACCACCACCCUUUCUCCCGGCCGUCCCUGCCGCCUGUGCGCGUGAGGUCCGGCGGCCACCUCUGCUCAAAACUGCACGCACGCGAGGGCAUCCCAGCCGCCGUGUCUUCAGCUCUUGUUCAACAAUAAAACCACCAGCAGUCCAUGCUAAUUUUUUUUCUUCCAUCUCUACUGCUCUUCUCUCACUAAUUUGUUUUCUGUCUGAACUGCAGCACAAGGGAGAUUGAACGGGUUGCAGAUUGGGGGUUCGGCUGCCCCUGCGUCCAGCAGUCCAACCCAGUAGCCCCAGGACGUCCAGCGACCUGUCGGGCUAUGGUAUGCCAUUGCAAGUCGGCGAGCAACAUUAGCGACCGUACUCUCCAAACGCCCGAUGUUCGUGUCUCCUCUCUCUCACCCAUACUUGCAGCAUGUAUGCCAUGGAUUUUGUGAAUGGAAAAAAAUCCCUCUGUAAUUCUCUCGAUUCCAAUAAUUAUUUCAGACUGUGAUAGGCAUGCAUUUGAAUUUGGUAAGCACAUGUACUCUGCUGCCCAUAACCUCAUUGUUAUGUUUAUGAGAAUUGGACAAUCUUUUUAGUUUUAUUUUCACAAUAACUAGUCCUAGCUAAGUAUAUAUUGAUGCAUCCAGAGGUACUAACGUAUUAAAUCUUGCAAAUUAGGAUUUUAACUCCUUUGAUAAUGAUGUUGAAAUUUUGAUUGAGCACGAACACUAAAAUGGCAGAGGAUUCGCUAUUGGCACUGCAACUUAUUUCCCAUAAUCUUUUACUGAACUUUGAUUAAAUAUUUCUAGCUUUUCCUUAACAAAGUUCAUGAAAAAAAUAACUGAGCUGUAUUACAGCUAGCUUCGAUAGUAGGAUCCGAAAAUGGGAAGGUGCAUGCAACCAAUUAAAACCUGCUUCUUUUAUUAAUCCUGUAAUUUUCUGCACUCUAAUUUGUCUUUUGUCCAUUCUGCUCCGCUCGCUGCCUCGUACUUGACCUUCCCGCUCCUCCACCCCUGCACUGCCGCUCCCUCCUGCUGUCCUCACCCACAAGCUCGGUCCCUCGACAGAAAUUGCUGAAUCCUACUGGUGCUGCUUCUCCGAUGAGGUCAUCGUGCUGCACAUGCGCUGGCAAACGACAUCAUCUCUGGUUUUGUUUCCCUUGACACUCGGUAAGACAGGAAAUUCUUCAGUGCUAGUUCAAUGAAAGAAACAGCAGCAGUUCACUAAUCUAAAAAAAAUCACAUUUUUGGACGCACGCCAAGUGUAUGCUACAAUGUCAGUGCACCGGACUACUAGCUUUGCUCUGUUCAUCGUUUAUUUGUAGCUACCUUGUACUUCAAAAUUGCUAGAGACGGCAUGCUCCCUUGGCUUCAACUACGCCGCGGGCUUGCUCCACUUGUCUUCCACAGCGCCACCGGCAGACAAGCCUGGAUGUCGUCAUCCGAACCGCCGCACCGCCCGGCCGCCACGCUCCUCCAGCUACCAUCUGGCGGCGCGCGGUGCUCCAAGCACGUCCUCUGGAUGCCCCCUCCUCUUGCCUACUCCCUGCGAAGCGCCCGGCUGUCUCCCUCCUGCCCCGUCCGUCCAGGUAUGGUACUCACACCAGUUCAAGUAGUGAUAUUGCGACAAGUACAGCUCCUCCCCUGUCAAGCUUAGUGCGCCAAAAAAGAGCAUAUUGAUGGAUGAUUGCUAGCUCGCUUCAUCAUUGGCUGAUUUUCCCGUCUACUAACUUGUGGUUAAUUCCUUCUAUCCUUCUGUUGUAUCUUUAUUUGGAGAUUUAUACUUGUGGAUGCCCAGCUUGUCAUGAAAAGUUCCAAAAAUUGUCGUAUAUUAAGUUCAAAUGUCUCACUUAUGAGUAGAACUUUUGUAGUUUGCUUGAACUGAUAGUUGAGACUUGCUGAGCCUCCAUGCUUUGUAGUUUGUGUGAAUUGAUAGUUGAGACUCGAUGAACUCUGUCCGUCUCGACUGUUGAACUGUAGCUGAUGGUUUUGUUUCUUUCGUAGGCUUAAGAUCGUCCUAUAUAGAUCAGCGGUUACUAUUUCUUUGCUCUGACUAUAUUUCUCAAUAGCAUUUUGUUUCUAUAAGUUUGUUGAAACCUACCUAAUAUAUAGCUAAUUCAACAUCCGACAUUUCUGCUGCAUUUGUAUGCCCACACCCUCAUAUGUUUGUACAAAAAAGAAAAUGGAUGUUAGAGUGGGUGAUUAAAAAACUCAAUGUUCUUCUGUUAUUCGAGCAGGCACCUGAAAAAAAUGUUCACCUUGGUUAGAUGAACCAAACGGGUCGUGUACUUCUUCUCUUAUUUGAGGAGGCACCUGAAAAAAAAUAAACAGAAUAAAUAAGAUGGCAGUAACAACCAGGUUGAACUUUUUAUAAUUUUCUGUGUAUGAUUGCAGUACUUUUUGUUAAAAAAAACACAUGCUUUGUAAAAAAACACUACGAAUCUGUUUGGACUGAUCGUUCGACUUCUUUCGUAUAGAAGGUUCAAAAAGUUCUGCUCCUGAAAAUGCACAUAUUUAGAGUAUGCGAAUAUAUUAUGCAUUUCUGAAUUUUGCUCUUGUGUAACAUUUCAACAUGUCUUAUGUCAUCAAUUCAUAAUGAAAAACAGUGGGAAUAGUUCAAAACAUGUGUGUUAAAAGCAGAACAGUAUAGAUAAACUUCCGUAUCAGUUCGAUGGAAUAAAUCACAUCAGUUCUCACUCGGAUUGGCUGUUGCCUACAAUGCAUUGAAAAUAAAAAUUUGAAUCAAAUCAAUCUAGUUGUUCUAUAUUGGCUUAAAGUUUUCGUAUCUUUAUCUUACUGAUGAUGCUCUGAACUGAACAAGAGUGCUGGGUAAUAAGUGUGCCUUUGUUUAAUACUAAAAGAUCUGUUCGCUGACUCAUAGUAGCAAAAUCGCAUGGAAGUGUGUGUUGAUGGCUUCAAUUAAUUUUACGCUUGCAUGCACGAUGGUGGCAGUGGUGGCGCAGAAUUGGAGAAAGAAAAAAAGGAAAGCCGUCCAAAAAACUGAACAUUUUUUCAUGUUUCUCUCUAGCUGAAUGAAGCUAGACUGAUGUACUACACUUAAUCUCUCUGCACACCAGGUUCAUGUACAUCGAUGAGAGGAGUUCACAAUAUAUAUCAAACAAAAAGAUAGUUCAGGUACAGAGGGAGUUUGAUGCCUCUAUGCAUGUAGGGAGGUUCUCUCACUUUCCAUGCGGGUGGAGAAGUUUAAUGGGAUGAAAUGCGUAUGUAUAUGACUCGUGCUAUGUUUAGCAAGUUGCUGCCUGAUGCAUAUUCAAUUCUCUACUUGUUUGAUGUCUUUGUGCUUUUGCUUUUUCUAUGAUUUUUUUCGAAAUGAAAGAGGACAAACUAGCUGCAAAAUUUAGGUGAACAUAUAUAAUUUUUUUCAUGCAGUAGCAGGUCUGAACAAAGAGGUCAAACUAGCUGCAAAAUGUAGGGGAACAUAUAUUUUUCUCUGAACAAUUUUGAUCCCAUUUUGAUCAUGACAUGAUCAAAAUUUGACGGCGGGAAGUAGCAGGUUCUUCAAUGUUGUGCAGUUCGAUGUGAUUUAGUUGGCCAGGAAGGGAGAAGCAACAGGGACAGUACGGGAUGGCUGACGACGAACCUGCUGCCGACGUGCUCUAUGAAUAACAGGGAAAGAAAGGAUUCCAUUUCCUGAGAGCUACAAAUCACAGUAAUUCAUUAGUACAUAUCCACCUACAGCCCGUUCAACGAUGUAAGCCACGCAAGUCCGAAAGAAAUGGACAAAACAAUGGUGGUGGUGAGAAAAAUAGAGCCCGUUCAAUGAUGUAAGCCACGCAAGUUCGAAAGGAUCCACAUCAGUACAAAGUCGAGAGGGCAUGUAUUACCGUCCAACUCGAGAGGGCAUGUAUUACCGUCCAAAGUACAUUCUUCAAUUUACCAAGAAGUUCAUGUAUUACUAUCCAGAAAGUAUAUAUAACUAUUGCUACUCUUCCCCCAAUUCAAUGUACAUAUAGAAAAGGUUCAAAUAUAUGUUAAAAAACAAUUUGGUUCUAAGUUAUAUAGUGACUCAA